GACGAACGCUGGCGGCGUGCUUAACACAUGCAAGUCGAGCGGUAAGGCCCUUUCGGGGGUACACGAGCGGCGAACGGGUGAGUAACACGUGGGUGACCUGCCCUCAGCUCUGGGAUAAGCCCGGGAAACUGGGUCUAAUACCGGAUAUGACUCCAUGACGCAUGUUGUGGGGUGAAAGCCUUGUGCGGCUGAGGAUGGGCCCGCGGCCUAUCAGCUUGUUGGUGGGGUGAUGGCCUACCAAGGCGACGACGGGUAGCCGGCCUGAGAGGGCGACCGGCCACACUGGGACUGAGAUACGGCCCAGACUCCUACGGGAGGCAGCAGUGGGGAAUCUUGCGCAAUGGGCGAAAGCCUGACGCAGCGACGCCGCGUGAGGGAUGACGGCCU
rnacentral:rRNA from 1 species